AGAGUUUGAUCCUGGCUCAGAUUGAACGCUGGCGGCAGGCCUAACACAUGCAAGUCGAGCGGUAGAGAGAAGCUUGCUUCUCUUGAGAGCGGCGGACGGGUGAGUAAUGCCUAGGAAUCUGCCUGGUAGUGGGGGAUAACGUUCGGAAACGGACGCUAAUACCGCAUACGUCCUACGGGAGAAAGCAGGGGACCUUCGGGCCUUGCGCUAUCAGAUGAGCCUAGGUCGGAUUAGCUAGUUGGUGAGGUAAUGGCUCACCAAGGCGACGAUCCGUAACUGGUCUGAGAGGAUGAUCAGUCACACUGGAACUGAGACACGGUCCAGACUCCUACGGGAGGCAGCAGUGGGGAAUAUUGGACAAUGGGCGAAAGCCUGAUCCAGCCAUGCCGCGUGUGUGAAGAAGGUCUUCGGAUUGUAAAGCACUUUAAGUUGGGAGGAAGGGCAGUUACCUAAUACGUGAUUGUUUUGACGUUACCGACAGAAUAAGCACCGGCUAACUCUGUGCCAGCAGCCGCGGUAAUACAGAGGGUGCAAGCGUUAAUCGGAAUUACUGGGCGUAAAGCGCGCGUAGGUGGUUUGUUAAGUUGGAUGUGAAAUCCCCGGGCUCAACCUGGGAACUGCAUUCAAAACUGACUGACUAGAGUAUGGUAGAGGGUGGUGGAAUUUCCUGUGUAGCGGUGAAAUGCGUAGAUAUAGGAAGGAACACCAGUGGCGAAGCGACCACCUGGACUGAUACUGACACUGAGGUGCGAAAGCGUGGGGAGCAAACAGGAUUAGAU
rnacentral:rRNA from 1 species